rnacentral:lncRNA from 1 species
UACCUAAGAGAAUAUUGUUUUUUUGUUUUGGGUUUUGGGGUUUUUUUGAGAAUAUUGUUUUUAAGCACUACUUUCAAACUUCAGUAACUUAUAGGCUCCUUUUUUUUUUUAAUUUUUAUUUAUUCAUGAUAAUCACAAUGAUAAUCACACAGAGAGAGAGGGAGAGGCAGAGACAUAGGCAGAGGGAGAAGCAGGCUCCAUGCACCGGGAGCCCGACAUGGGAUUCGAUCCCGGGUCCUCAGGAUCGCGCCCUGGGCCAAAGGCAGGCGCUAAACCGCUGCGCCACCCAGGGAUCCCUUAUAGGCUCCUUUUAACUGGUAAAAAACUUCAGUCUUUUAGUGUUGAUACACAUUAUUACAAUUUUACUUAAACAUGAACAAAAUUAGAUAUAAAUUCUUUAUGCUUGUAUUUCUUAUUUAGCUCUAAACUGAAACAAACUUAAAAGUUAGGUACAAAAAAACCUAUAAAACUAAUGACAUGCAAAUUAACAUUAUUUUAAUACAAUGAUGGUAUUUUGCCAAACUGAAUUGCUACUCACAACAGGAGUACAAAGCUGUCUGCCAACCCCAGAGGUGUCUUGGCAGCCUUCAUUGCCAUUGGUGCCCUUUUCUGCCACAUUUCUAAGAUGUUGAAAAUCCAGGAUUGGUGCAACGUAUAGUGAGUGCACCAUUAUUUCAUUUUGACCUUUACUUAGUGGGACUGUAUCAUUUACCUAUCAAGUGAGCCUCCUUUUUUUCUAAUUAUUCCUUAACAAUUAAAAUAGUGUGCUUGAUGCCAGUUUAGAUUAGAAAAACAAAUGUCUAUGUACAUUUGCAAUCAUGUUGCAAAUGCUUAGUUGCUGUGCUUAGUUAAUAAGUGGCCAUUGCAAUGAUCCAGCAUAUAUUUAUAUUAAUUUUAGAUGUAAACUUUGUUUUCAGUUCAAUAUUAAAGUUCUUUUGGAAAACUCAUAGACCUUGGGAAAGAGAUCUUGGAUUCCUGUUUGUUAGAUACUCUCGUUCAAUGUUUUUAUUAUUAUUUAACAUAAUAUUAAUAUUUAUGACCAUUAUUUAUUUGUAACAUUAUAAAAAUAAUUCUUAUUUGUUUAUUGGAAUAAGUCCUCUAAAUACUUCUACCAGGAAAGACUGUUACAUUAGUUUAUUAUGGUAUCUCUUUGAAAGCAAUAUAUUUAUAUUUUUUAAAGUACCAUGUAACUCAGACUUUCACUAAUUUAAAAGCGCUUUUUCUCUUUAAAAGUCUAAAUUAUAAAUGUUUUACAGAAUGUACUGUUAACUGUUUUCCAUAGCUGGGGAAGGUAAAAUUUAGUUUGGUUGGAAAAAUAAUACCUCAUAGCAAAUAUACAAGUCCCGCAAGACAAUAAAGCCUCUAGAAACUGAGAAGUGUGGUAGCAAAUGACAUUAUUCUUCCUCUGAUGAUGCUGCUAUAAACAUUCUAGUGGACUUCUCUCAGAAUAAUUGACUGUUUUGUUGGUCAGAAACUUCCUUCCCAACUUCUUUUCUCCCUUUCUCCUCUUUUUAUUAGCUUUGAAUCUUGCACUGUCCUCAUCUCCCCUCUUUCUUAUUCCCUUACUUUAUUUUUAAGAUUUUAUUUUUUUUUAGUACUCUUUACACCCAGUGUUGGGCUGGAGCUUACAAUCCUGAGAUCAAGAGUCAUAUGGUCUACCGACUGAGCCAGUAGGUGCCCCUUUAUUGCCCUGCGUGAUACCAGAGAUCACCUGUCUCUUCACAUCUCAGCUGGUCUGCAGUCUGGCUUUCUUCAUUGACAGUGGGCUCCGUGGUCUUGGGCGACAGGAAGGAAGGACGCAGCAAGGCAACUUCUGACAGCAUCUCACCAUCCACUUCUCAAUAUAGCUAAUAGGGUGGCUCCUGAAAAAUCAUGCUUAAUUUGCCUCCAGAUAUUCACUCUGAAGCACAAAAAGCACAGCUUUGGGGCAGCCAGCUAAUUGUAUGUGCCUGUUGGUCUACUUGUAGCUUCCUUUGCUGUGAGCACACGGAUCCUGCCCACCUCAGAGCUGAGCUGGGAAGGUGUGAGUUGUGCCUACUUCUGAUUCUUCUUUGUCCAUGUGCUGGGCAGUGCUGCUGCUGCUGCCGCCACGUGGACUGCAUUUCAGGUACCAGCAAGUUUACGUCUAAAGCAGCCUCCAGUUACCGUGCACGGAGAGCUGUACCAUUCAUAAGCACAUGUGCGUUCAUCCAUCCUGACAGUCACUUACCAUGUGACCUUGGGCCAGUCUGUUUCUUCAUUACUGCAGUGAACCUAGUGGUAGUGUGUACAUCAUAGGUCCUUUUUUUUUUUUUAAGAUUUUAUUUAUUUAUUCAUGAGAGACACAGAGAGAAAGAGGCAGAGACACAGGCAGAGGGAGAAGCAGGCUCCAUGCAGGGAGCCCGACGUGGGACUCAAUUCCAGGACCCCAGGAUCACACCCUGGGCCGAAGGCAGGCGCUCAACUGCUGAGCCACCCAGGGAUCCCCCCAUCGUAGGUUUUCAUGAGAAUUAAGAGUUUUCAUAUGUAAAAUGCUUCAGGUGGUGCCUGGCUCUUAGUUGUAAGAUGCUAGCUAAAAUUGUUAUUAUUCAGCAAGCAUUUACUUACUAUUUGGUAUAUUCCAAGCAAUCCAAGAGAUGGAGAAGUGCAAAGGACACAGCCUUGCUCCCAGGAACUUCUGUAACUACCGCACCACAUGGUGUUUAGGAGGUCAGGUGAAGCCUCAUCACAUGGGUGAAGUUUGAACUGGAUCUUAAAGGCUAAAUAGUUCUGGCAAAUGAAAUAGCAUCAGAGGCAAUACAUGCCAAGCAGAGGGACAGCUCGUGAUCAGAAUAAAGCUGGGAAAGAUUGUGGGGCCCUUGGCUAUUGUUAGACGAGAUUUUAGCCUCUUCUCUGAUUCAUAGCUUCGUAAGCAGGAGCUCUGAGGCGGGUUCACUGUACCUUUUGGAACUUACAAUCUUAAAACUAGUUAUUAACAAGUUAAUGAGAAUAAUUAUUAUUACUAUUUGACUGGCGCGUCAAAGACUGUGAACUCCAUGAGGUGGGAGCUAAGCGCGUCGUCACGUGGCCGGGACGCGGCCGCCCCGUGGCAGGGCAGAGAGUGGUCGGGAGGAGCUGGCGGUGGAACAGUGGAAGCCGAUGGGCUCCCUCCUCUCAACAGAGCUUUAGUUGAAUUUUCCAAAUUAAGCAGGUCUUACUUUGCCUUAGUCUAUAAACAGGAGAACCUCACGUCUUAAGGUCUUGCCCGGUGCUGUGAUGGCAAAGAAGGGAUUUUCUUUUUUUUCCUCCACGGAGGGGUGGGGCCGGGGUCAGAUCUCAAAUUAGGAAGGUUCCUGUUACUCAUGGAAUUUCCAUUUCUGUUCCAAACGAAAGCUGUUUUAUCUCCCGCAAAGGCUUUUCCUGCCGCUUUGCUUUCGCUUCCUCUGCGCCCGCUCAGUCCUGGACCAGGGCCUUGGCGGGGGCUUGGCAGGCAGCCGAGCUACGGGCUCCGCGGUGUCGCCGUGGAACGAGGGAAGGUUGGGAGCGGCGGUGGGGAACACGCGGCAGUGUCCUCCCCUGUCCUUCCCUUCCCGUGGAACAGUGGCCCACGUGUUCCGUUACAGCGGCCUGACGAGAACCUGGACUUGUUCAUUUGCCCUGGGAUCCUGGAGAUGGACCACUGUGCGGGAUGCCAUAGAGGCGGCGGCUCCUCCCCGACAGUGUCCUUAAAAGCCCGUGUCCAGCCCUGAGGACUCUGGACUCUGUCUCUAUAGCAGUGGGACAGAUUUUAUGAUGAAAGAUAAUGGCCUCCGGAGUCAUAGGAUCGGGAAGGAGCUUAGCACUUCAUUCCCCAUCCUCCUCCAUUAUUAACAGAUUCUCCUUGGGUGCCUUUAGGAAAUCCUCCUUAUAUGGUGUCUAAUGUGCCGCCUACACAGUCCCCCCUCCGCCGACUGGGGAAUUACAUCCAGCUUGAGGAGCUCCAGCUCUUUCUGCGGGCCUGUUUAUUCCAAGAUUGAAAUCCACGGUGGAUUUAGUCGUUUUGUAUCAAAUCUGCUCGGAACUGUUGGACUCGAAGCAAACUAAUUAUUGUCGUUGUCUGUAUAGCAGUAGAGAGAGUGAAAAACAGUAAUAAGGUCUUAAAAAGCUGUCAUGACUUGAAGUGAAAUAGGCUACUCUUCAGUAGCCUCAUCUGUAUCCUGAAGGGCUUUGGUCUUGAAAACUGUCAAACACGACAUCGGAUUUCAGAUCGUGGAAUCUCGGUUAGCUUCUCGGGGCAGCUCCAUUCAGCGCUCUCAUCGACCAUUCCGUCUGUAGGAUUUGCUUUGAGAUUGUAAGGAAUGUGGAAGCAAAGGGGUUUUUCUUAUCAAACACUCCAUUUGGGUACUCCACAUCAGACCUGUCUCGGCAGAGAAAUAGAAGGUACCAGGUAGACUGUCCUAUUUCCUUAAGUGCCUCAGGAGACAUAUAUUUUCUUUCUCAAGCAUAACUUUGGCGACUAGGGUUUCCCAAUUUGGCGGGGUCAGUGUUGAGCAGACAAAGUUGCUAGUUACCGAGUGCCAUUGAGGUUAUUUCACAAAGGCAGUAAAGCCCAAGAAUUGCUCCUUGGACAGAGCUACAUCCGAUCUGGUACGGCUUCUCUUUCUGAGAGCCCGUUAGGAGUUAAAAUAGUUUUGACAGUGGCUUUAAGUGCACAUCUUUGUCUCCAAACAUAAUUAGUGUUGAAAAAUGAAGGCCUGCCAGUUAGGGCUUUGUGGCUUAGACAGCAGCUCCAUCUGGUGCUUGCUGAAGGUGUUUGCUUGAUUCAUCUCCUGGUUUUUUUGCAGCAGCAUGAAUACAGAUGUACACAGUAUUUGUAAAAGAAUGCCAGAUCCAGAGUCUCAAUUUUAUCGAUGGCUUUCUAUUGCACACAGCACUGACGUAAGCUAAUUGUGUUCCCGGUGAAUCUCAUCUGUCCUGAUGAUAACAUGAUAGCUGCUAAUCAGCUCAACAGCCGUCUCUUGACUGAAUUAACUUACUAGCACUCGAUGUGGGGAACUAUUUUGACUAUUAUCUACCAGGCUUGAAAAAGAAAAUACACUGUACUACUUAUUUAAAAGAGAAGAUUGAAUCCCUCUCUGAUCAGUGGUGGAUUUAACUGCAUUAAUGAGGUAUUAUUAGGCCAGAAUGCCUUUUUCUGUUUAAUGCCACAUAGUGCUAAGUAGAUAGGGGAUGUCUUUUUAAAAAUAAUUCUUGGUGACUGAUGUGAACUACCCUAAAUUAUUGAUAGAAAUUACUUCCACAUAGUAGGAUUA